AGCCCACAAGAAAGAAGAAAAAAAUCAUUAAUGAUAUGGUGUGUGCUGGGAUAUUGCUUUAGGUUCCUGGGACCUCUUGCAACAUUGGCCAAAGAUUAGUAAGCAAUGCUCGGUGAGCUGAGGAGAUAACGCUUAAGGGAAAAGAGUAUUUAUUUAUUUCUGGCAAUGUGCCAGGCACCUGAAUGGAUACUUUCACAUAUAUUUUCUCAUUUGGAAGAGCCAAGAGAGAAAUAAGAAAGAGUUCUCUCAUCCAAGGUCAACUAUAGGCAAAAUGAGCUUUCCCUAGCAACCUGCCUUGGAUAAAAAGACACCAGAAAUUUCUCAAAGGCCAGUGUUUCAUAUGGUAAAUUCUUAACCACUGCACCACCAGGGAUGUCCCCGCCUGCAUUUCUGAAAAUCUUCCUCCGGCAUUCAAGGACCCCAGGAG